rnacentral:rRNA from 1 species
GAUGAACGCUGGCGGCGUGCCUAAUACAUGCAAGUCGAGCGAACGGACGAGAAGCUUGCUUUUCUGAUGUUAGCGGCGGACGGGUGAGUAACACGUGGAUAACCUACCUAUAAGACUGGGAUAACUUCGGGAAACCGGAGCUAAUACCGGAUAAUAUUUUGAACCGCAUGGUUCAAAAGUGAAAGACGGUCUUGCUGUCACUUAUAGAUGGAUCCGCGCUGCAUUAGCUAGUUGGUAAGGUAACGGCUUACCAAGGCAACGAUGCAUAGCCGACCUGAGAGGGUGCUCGGCCAAACUGGACCUGAGACACGGUCCAGACUCCUACGGGAGGCAGCAGUAGGGAAUCUUCCGCAAUGGGCGAAAGCCUGACGGAGCAACGCCGCGUGAGUGAUGAAGGUCUUCGGAUCGUAAAACUCUGUUAUUAGGGAAGAACAUAUGUGUAAGUAACUGUGCACAUCUUGACGGUACCUAAUCAGAAAGCCACGGCUAACUACGGGC